rnacentral:lncRNA from 1 species
GCUGUGGGUGGGGAAAGACAGACACUGCCAGGGCCCAGCACAACUCCCCUUCAGCACACACCUGAAUAGACUGGAGGAAUUGUAUGCCAUGAGUGCCUUUUUCCAUCAGUAAAGUACACAGACUAAACACAAGCCUGCAUGCCAAAGGAAAUGUGAGAUGCACCUGACAGUAUGUAGACACCCAGGUCAUGAUCUUUGGUUAACACCUGGAGCAGAACAUUCCUGCUACAAUCCUGCCUCCUGCCUCCAAGCCACCCCAACACAUGCCAGGCAAUUAUCACAUCCCAUUUCUGGAAGUUCCAGAAGCUUUCAGAAUUAUCCAGAAUUAAACAUAAGUCGGUCAGAGAGAACUGAGUACAGCAAGGCAAGGAUGAGUGAAGAUGCUUCAGACCAACUUGAGGAGAGGUGAAGAACAGAUGAAAUGGAAAAAUCAAAACAGGAUGUGUAACGAAGUAGCUGCCAAAAGCUGCAAGAUUUUAUUUUGGAAUGGAGAAUUUCACAUCUCUUCUUUGGUACUUUAUUACUUCUGUUUAAGGUUUCGGGAGGCCUGUGUAUUUGUUUCUGCUGGGAAGCUUGGUGAGGAUAGAAAACAGAGUUCAGUUUUCCUUCACUGUUAAUUAAGUGUUUUUGGAAUGUGUAAUCAUAUAAAAAAAUUGACAGUGAUGGGUACCAUGGACCAGCUUAAAUAGUUUUGGAUACUCCGCUCUGUUGAUGGACAGAAGUUGUUUAUGCUGUGUGACAAAACAGCAUAGUUGCUGGUUCUCAUUUAUUUUAUAAGGUCAUUUGCAUAGCUUUGAUUUCCUUCAGACAAACUUCAUUUUCAGACUAUGUAGAGUUAAAAAAUGUGUCUAAUUACUGUACAAUGGGGCAUUGUAAUGAGAGCAGAUUACAACAGCUUGCCUAAGAGUUUU